rnacentral:rRNA from 1 species
AUUGAACGCUGGCGGCAGGCCUAACACAUGCAAGUCGAGCGGAUGAGGGAAGCUUGCUUCCCGAUUUAGCGGCGGACGGGUGAGUAAUGCCUAGGAAUCUGCCUAUUAGUGGGGGAUAACGUUCCGAAAGGAACGCUAAUACCGCAUACGUCCUACGGGAGAAAGUGGGGGAUCUUCGGACCUCACGCUAAUAGAUGAGCCUAGGUCGGAUUAGCUAGUUGGUGGGGUAACGGCUCACCAAGGCGACGAUCCGUAGCUGGUCUGAGAGGAUGAUCAGCCACACUGGAACUGAGACACGGUCCAGACUCCUACGGGAGGCAGCAGUGGGGAAUACUGGACAAUGGGCGAAAGCCUGAUCCAGCCAUGCCGCGUGUGUGAAGAAGGUCUUCGGAUUGUAAAGCACUUUAAGUUGGGAGGAAGGGUUGUAAGCUAAUAUCUUGCAGCUUUGACGUUACCAGCAGAAGAAGCCCCGGCUAACUCCGUGCCAGCCGCCGCGGUAAAAC